rnacentral:rRNA from 1 species
UACAGAGGGUGCGAGCGUUAAUCGGAAUUACUGGGCGUAAAGCGCGCGUUAGGCGGCUUUGCAAGUCGGGUGUGAAAUCCCCAGGCUUAACCUGGGAACUGCGUCCGAUACUGGAGGGCUUGAGUGCGGGAGAGGGAUGUGGAAUUCCAGGUGUAGCGGUGAAAUGCGUAGAUAUCUGAGGAACACCGGUGGCGAAGGCGGCAUCCUGGACCGACACUGACGCUGAUGCGCGAAAGCUAGGGGAGCAACGGG